UACACUAAAAAUAUACAGGGAAACAAACAUAGGACACCACUUCAUGGCAAUGUUCCUUUAAUUAUUCUCAGAUUUCCUCCCACAGAGCUAUUCAAAGCUGGUGAUGAAAACUGGUAAAUAUUAAAGGAACACUUAUUUUCCAGUGUUCCUUUGUUU